ACAAACUUUACCCGACUCGAUUUACGGAGACAGCCGAGCGUCUGGUUGAACAAGACUAGGCUGAGGUGGAGCUCCAAUAAGAAUAACUCACAAAAAGAGGAAUUAAAAUAGCCAAUCAUGUUGAAGUUGUCCGUCAACAUCCAGACCAUUUUGGUGGGAAUGGGCAUUGGUCUUUUUGUGUACUACGUCAUCAAACGGAUGCGGUAUCGUCUGCCACCUGGACCAUGGUGUAUCCCACUUAUUGGGCAUUAUAAGAUUUAUUCAUCGCCUGAGAUUCACUUAAAAACCGCAGAGCUUGCAAAGGAAUACGGCCCUAUAGUCCGGCUGUCUGUUGGUCCCCAAACCUGGGUUGUUCUAAAUGACAUCAACUCUGUGCUGGAAGCAAUGGUAAAGAAAAAGGCCGAUUUUGCUGGAAGACCACAGAUUACAUCAGGUGAUGUGUUUACAGAAGGAGGAAAGGAUAUCGCCCUGGGUAAUUAUUCAGCUUCCUGGAAAUUCCAUAGGAAAAUAGCCGGAAAGGCCUUAAGGAAUUAUCUUCAGGGGGAUUUAUUGGAAAACAUGAUUCAAGACAACAUGAAUAAAUUUUUGGACAAGAUGGCUGAAGAGAAAGGACCGUUCGUUUUCAAAGAAUACGCGGAUCUGAUCAUUUUUCAUCAACUGUACACAAUAUGUUUUGGAGAAAAACGUCCUGUAGAUGACCCGGAGGUGAAAAGAUUUAUCAAAUUAGACAAUGAUCUGCUGGAGAAAUUUGGUUCAGGUUUCUUUGAGGACCUAUUUCCCUAUUUGAAAAACAUCUUUACGACGGCUAAAUGGAAGAAAUUGCUUGUGUUGACAGAAGAUAUACUGAACGUCCUCCGAAAGAAACUCAAAGAACACGAAGAAACUUUCCAGCCAGGAGUCAACAGGGACUUUAUAGACAGCAUGCUGAUCGCCAAACAGGAAGCGAAGGAUGAGGGCAAUGAGGCGGCCCUGGAGAUCUUGGAUGACACGCACCUGGUUCAGACAAUAUCUGAUAUCUUCUUUGCGGGGGUAGAUACAACUCGUUACACAAUGGACUGGUUCGUUUAUUUCAUGACACGAUUUCCGGAAACCCAAGCAAAAUGUCAGGAGGAAAUUGACAGAGUUGUUGGAUCGAAGCAAAUUUCAAUGAAGGACAGAGGCAAUUUAGAUUACACCGAGGCCUGUAUAUUUGAGACGAUGCGACUUUCAAAUUUUAUUGGUUUUGGGAUUCCACACAUGACAGUCUGUGAUUCACAAGUUGGGGGAUACGAUGUCCCAAAAGGCACCACUGUACUUAUCAAUUACUGGGCGCUUAACCAUGACCCUAAACAAUGGAAGGACCCAGAACAAUUUGACCCACAUCGCUUUCUCGAUGAAAACGGCAAAAUGAAACCCGCCAAACCAGACAGUUGGCUUCCCUUUUCUGCCGGACACCGAGUUUGUUUAGGAGAAAGUUUGGCCAAACCAGAACUCCUACUGAUGAGUGCCAAUCUUCUACAACGAUUUGAAAUAAGUCUCCCAGAGGGCGUGAAGCCAAAUUUAGAGUGUCAUAUGCAGGGGUUUGGUGUAGAACUGCCAUCUGAUUACAAAAUCGUGGUUAAAGAAAGAGCCGGAAGAUGAAACCUGGUUAUGGAACAGUUAUUGUCAUAUUGAUCUUGCAAUUAAAAAUUAAUUUU
rnacentral:misc_RNA from 1 species